GACGAACGCUGGCGGCGUGCUUAACACAUGCAAGUCGAACGAUGAAGCCUUAGCUUGCUUUGGUGGAUUAGUGGCGAACGGGUGAGUAACACGUGAGCAACGUGCCCAGGACUCUGGAAUAACCGCGGGAAACCGUGGCUAAUACCGGAUAGGUGCCGAGGCCGCAUGGUCUUCGGUUGGAAAGUUUUUGCGGUUCUGGAUCGGCUCACGGCCUAUCAGCUUGUUGGUGGGGUAAUGGCCUACCAAGGCGACGACGGGUAGCCGGCCUGAGAGGGUGACCGGCCACACUAGGACUGAGACACGGCCCAGAAUCCUACGGGAGGCAGCAGUGGGGAAUAUUGCGCAAUGGGCGCAAGCCUGAUGCAGCAACGCCGCGUGGGGGAUGACGGCCUUCGGGUUGUAAACCUCUUUUAGUAGGGAAGAAGCGCAAGUGACGGUACCUGCAGAAAAAGCACCGGCUAACUACGUG
rnacentral:rRNA from 1 species